UUUUUUUGAGAACAUUCCUUUAAAUAAAUACUAAAGACAGUCAGGUAUACAAAUUUAAACUUCUAUAAGUACACAUUCAAAAGAUGUCAUUUUCGCAUGGCUUAUAUACAUUAACCAAAAUAUUCUUCGGCCACUGGUCUAUUCUAUACAUGCCAUAAAAUAAUUCAAAACAUAACAGUAACAAGCAGUGGAUAGUGAUAGUGUGACUAGUUGCUGACGAUCCCCGAGUCUGUAGCUUCCAAAUGAGAUCUAUAAAAUAGAGGAAACAAAGUAAACGGAGUAAGCAUUACAAUGCUUAGUAAGUUUUAAGCAGUGUCAACAGAUAACAAUCAAAUUAUAACAUAGUUGUUCGUAUUUUUAUUUCACUCUUCCUUCGGGCAUACCAUCCCUUUACCGAAUAUGCACAUCUCAUCAUAUACAAUAGGCAGAUAAACUUUCACAUAAAAGUGAGCUCAUGUGACAUAGAUAUAUUGUAUAAUUUCACAUAACCUCUCACACUGAUCCAAUGUCACAUAAUCAUAGGAAUAGUCUCAUAGAUUGCUCACGUAUGCAUCACAUAACUACCUUAUGAUUUAGUUCAAAUCAAGCUCACAUAUAAACUUGGAGUACAUACCUGUUUAACCUUUCGUAUUGAAUUUAUUUAUAAGUAAUUCUUAUUGCGAAGUCUUAUAGCUUUAAACUCUACUCGGAUUAUCAGCGAGACCUUUAGCUCAGAUGAAAUCUCCACACGAGUCAGCGGGUCUUAACCCAGACAUAGUCACCACAUAUGGUCAUCUAGUCUUUAAUCCCGGGUUUACAUCAUAGAGUUUCAUGCAUAUUUAUUCACAUGUUACAACAUUCACAUCGACUAUCAUAUUUGUAAUUUCAUUUACCUCAUCAAAUAUCUAAUAAAACACACCUUCCGCCGUUUAUCAUUUGGCCACAAUAUAUAUAUACACAUCUCAUACAUAUCUCACAUUAGCCAUUUGGCUUUACCAAAUAUCCAUCUCAUACACGUUUCGCAUUAGCCAUUCGGCUUUACCUCAUAUCCAUCUCAUACACAUUUCGCAUUAGCCAUUCGGCUUUACCACAUAUAUACACUUCCACGUUCAUCACAUUGGCCAUUCUGCCUUAUCACAUAUAUGCAUGUUCACAUUCAUCACAUUGGCCAUUCGGCCUUAUCUCAUAUAUGCAUGUUCACAUUCAUCACAUUUGUCAUUCGGCCUUAUCUCAUAUAUACACAUUCACAUUCAUCACAUAAAAUCCUAAAUCAAAAUAUAAAUUUUCAUGUAUUCACAUCACAAUUAUCCAAAUAUACUUCACAUACCACAUAUACUUUCAUGUAUACACUUUGUCUUGGCUGAAUCUACAUCUAUCAUUUUCUGAUGAAUAAUUCAAUUUCAAGCCAUACUAUCAUUUCAUAUUCGAAUACUUAUAAACUUACAAUCUCACAAAUUUUAAUAUCAAAGAUCCAUCUAACGCUCAUAUAUCAUUUUAUAAUAUCACAAUUUAGAAUUCACGUAUGGGUUUAAUCAAUAGCUUAUGAGCAACUAAAACAAGUUUUAUCCAUGUUUACAACAUAACCACAAAUUCUCUACAAGCUGUUUUCCUGAGCAACAAUCCUUAAAUUAUUUGUAACUGGGGCUACGAAAUUCCAAAUUAUGUGCCGUUAAUUUUCCAUGAAAAUAGACUCGUAUAUCCUCUAUCCACAAAAUUUUCAGAAUUUUUGGUUUGGCCAAUCAAUACCAGAUUUUUCUUAAAUUUUCCCCUAUUUUACUGCUUGACUACUCUGACUACUCUUCACUAAGAAUUUAAUUUCUCAUUGUAUAGAAUUCAAAAUAUGUUUUCGUUUCUUUUGUUUGAAACUAGACUCAUUAAGGAGUCUAAGCAUAUAAUUUUAUCUUAUAAUCAUUUUUGUACGAUUUAUAAUGAUUUUCCAAAUACUGAACAGGGGAUUUCGGAGCCAUUCUGACUCUGUCUCACACAACUUUGAAAAUCUCAUUGUCGGCAACCCCUUUACUUACACGAUUUCUUUUAUACGAAACUAGACGUGUCAAGCUUUAAUUACAUAAUUUAUUCAGCCUUUAACUCAACUCCCACAUAAGCUAGUAUUUUAGUAAUUAAUAUGAUACAAGUUAAACCAAAAGUUUACAAUAAAAUUACAAGGUACAUACAUAGGGCCCAUAUACAUGUUUAUUUUAAAACACCACCCUUUAAACCCUCUAGCUCUACUUACAAAAGACUCUCAUAACUAAAAUCCAUAAGUAAGUCAUCCAAUUCCACCAUUUCAAUAAGUAUUUUAUACCAAAUCUAAUAACUAAAUGUUAUUAAUGAGAUUCAUACCAAGACCGAAUAUUCAUUAACAACCAAAGCAUAUAUUCAACAAUUUAACAAUGUGUUUAACCUCCAUGGCCGAAUAGAUCCUUUCUAUUCCAUUUAACUACCAUAAAUUUAAAGUAUUUAAAUCAAGUUCAUGAGUUUCUAAUUUCAUUACUUCAACCAUUCAAAGCCUAUCUAAUUUCUCAAAUAGAUUUCUAAUACAAGAAUUAAGCCAACCUACUAACCUUAACACCCACUACUUAUGUACAAAAAUUUAUCCACCCUAGCCUAUAGUUCAUUCGGCCAUUCUUCACCCAACCAAACAAAAUUUCAUAGCAAACUCCUAUGACCGAGCACACACAUAUACUUACAUCCCAAUACUCAUAAUAUUCAAAAUUCACAUUUUAAUAAAUUAUCUUAAAUAAUGCCGAAUCCUUAAGUGAUUAAACAUCAAAUUUUACUCAAUUCAAAACAUAUAAACAACAUUUAUUCAUGACAUCAAGCAUCUUUAUUUCGGCUAUUACUAGUAUAAGCAUUAACCAUUCAUGUUUUUAGAAAGACCAAUUUCUUUCCUCAACACAUUCAUCAUCAAAAUUCAAAUAAAACAAUCAAAAUUCCUUCCUUUAUAACCAUAACCGAAUGCUCCAUUCACCCAUCAUUAUUGAAAAUUUUAGCAUGGGCUAAGCAAGAACCAUGAUAAUUUACCUAAAAAAAGUAAACAUUUCACAAAUUUAACACAAUAUACUAACCUCCCUAAAGAUUCAAGUGACCGAAAUUCCUCCCCUCCUUUCUUUCUUCUAUUCGGCCAAGUUGAACAAAGAGAGAACUUUGUUUUCAUCACCAAAUUUCCUUAUUUUUAUUUAAAGUAUAAAACCAUUUAACUAAAAUUAAUACAUAUUUUAAUAUGAGUCCAUCAUCUUGGCCGGCCACUACUAGCAAAAGGGGUUAUUUGACAUGCAAGUAUUCUUAUAACAUGCAUUAAUAAGUUACUUCAACAUUUGCCUAACACAUUUCUAAAUUUUCUCACAUAAGUCCUAUUUAAUAAUUUCGCAUACAAAUGAUAAAAUUAAAGUAUGAAACUUCCACACAUUCAUAUUCACAUAUAAUAAGCAUCGAAUAUGACUGUUAAUUAUUUUUAUGACUCGGUUUCGUGGUCCCGAAACCACUUUCCGACUAGGGUCAAAUUAGGGGUGUCACAACUCUCCCCCCCUUUAGGGAUUUUCGUCCCCGAAAAUUUCUACUGAUGCAUAGUUUAGGAUAACGUCCUCUUAUUGAAUUAUAUCCAUAUAAACAUUAGCUCAUCGAUAGCAAUUGUAAUUCAUUACUGAUUUCGCAUCGAUCUAUAAAAUCAUUUUCUUAUCUUAAAACAAAUACAUAAACAUUUCUACAAGUAUGCACAUAUAUCUCAUUUUCUUGAUUUCAUAAGCAAUAAUCACUUAAUUUAAUUCACAAAUGCAUUUGAAACACAUAUUAAGCACAUAUUAACAUGUAUAAUUCACAUCAUCAACCCACAUAUUUGUAACCCACAUUUUCAUUCAUGUAUAAACUGUAACCUGACCGAAAGUACACAUAUACUCAAACAUCCCAAUAAAUAUCCUUUAUAACUCCAUCAUAUCUCACUAUUCAACUUAACCUAUUUCCAACAGAAAAUCAACUUCCACAUACCUGAACAUUGAAUUCAUUUAACACAUUCAAUCACCGUUAACGAUACCCGUAUACAAUCGAUUUGGCAUAAAGCCUCAUAUAGUAUACUGGCAUGGGAUUUAUUUUAGCACAUAACCCAUAUAUCCAAAAUUAUCAGCAUUCAUCAAAAAUUCUUACAGACUUUCAAAUGUCAAACUUAAUCGAAAUAAUUUCUUGAACAUGAUUAACAAAAAUAAGGGUCAUUUAGCAAUAGCACAUAUGACUUCAUAUACCAAGCAUCCCCUAAACUAAAUCCAUAACACAUUUAUAACAUGAAUUCAUUUCUUAACAAUAUAUCCACCAUCUUAAAUCAAUGCCUUCGUUCCAUACGAGGUCCUAUAUGAAUCUUGUUUUACUCGCUUAAUGUCUACUGACCGAUCUCGCACGCAUAGUGCCCAGUUGAAGAACUUGCACUCUCAGUGCCUCUAAUCAUUUGCACACAUAGUGCCCCUAUUCAUUUGUUGUUACACAUUGAAAUGACUUAACCAAGUCUAUAAACAUCAUGUAUGUACACUUUUAAACAUAUCCUUUCAUUUAACUUUGAAUUCGUAUAGUAAUGAACACUUAAACUUUGUUCAAAUUACCAGCACGAAGCCUACUAGGCACGAAGGCCCGAAUACACAUCACCAGCAUGAAUGCUCUUCGGGACUUAGCCCGGAUGUAACACCAGUACGAAUGCUCUUCGGGACUUAACCCUGAUAUAACUCCAGCACGAAUGCUCUUCGAGACUUAGCCCGGAUAUAACACCAGCACGUAUGCUCUUCGGGACUUAGCCCGGAUAUAACACCAGCACGUAUGCUCUUCGGGACUUAGCCCGGAUAUAACACCAGCACGUAUGCUCUUCGGGUGCUCUUCGGGACUUAGCCCGGAUAUAACACCAGCGCGUAUGCUCUUCGGGACUUAGCCCGGAUCAUAUAUAACUCUCAAUUCUCAUGUACAUAUACAUAUAUAACAAUACACAUUAGUAUAUCAUUUACAUUACUUGAAUACAAACACAACAUGCUUAUCGACCAUUCAACUUUCAGUUCCAUAGCCACAUACAGAGAUCACAUUUAUAGUCAUAACACUCUUUCAAAAUUGCAUCACUUAUACCAUUAUAAUUCAAUCCAAAUCAAAAUUCAAAUACGAGUACAUGAUACGUACCUGAUCAACUUAAUAAUUUAAGCAUAUCCAAGUGAAGUUAUAUCGCAAAUUCUCAUAGUCAGAAGCUUGCUACAGCUCGAUCGGGAUCAAGAUUCAUUACAAUACAACAAACAUAUUUUAAUAGUCAAAAAUCAUCACACUAUCAUUUUAUCACUUUAUGGCAUGUAUAAAUAGACUCACGCGUGCUACGUUAGUCCUAGAAUCGACUAAAUCGUGGCUCUGAUACCAAAUAAAAUGUAACACCCCUAUCCCGUAUCCGUCGCCAGAAUAGGUGAAGGGGCAUUACCAGACUUGAAACUCAUAUCAGAACAGUAAUUUUUUUUUUUGAAAACAUUCCUUUAGAUAAAUACUAAAGACAGUCAGGGAUACAAAUUUAAACUUCUAUAAGUACACAUUCAAAAGAUGCCAUUUUCGCAGGGCUUAUAUACAUUAACCAAAAUAUUCUUCGGCCACUGGUCUAUUCUAUACAUACCAUAAAAUAAUUCAAAACAUAACAGUAACAAGCAGUGGAUAGUGAUAGUGUGACUAGUUGCUGACGAUCCCUGAGUCUAUGGCUUCCAAAUGAGGUCUAUAAAACAGAAGAAACAAAGUAAAUGGAGUAAGCAUUACAAUGCUUAGUAAGUUCUAAGCAGUGUCAACAGAUAACAAUCAAAUUAUAACAUAGUUGUUCGUAUUUUUAUUUCACUCUUCCUUCGGGCAUACCAUCCCUUUACCGAAUAUGCACAUCUCAUCAUAUACAAUAGGCAGAUAAACUUUCACAUAAAAGUGAGCUCAUGUGACAUAGAUAUAUUGUAUAAUUUCACAUAACCUCUCACACUGAUCCAAUGUCACAUAAUCAUAGGAAUAGUCUUAUAGAUUGCUCACGUAUGCAUCACAUAACUACCUUAUGAUUUAGUUCAAAUCAAGCUCACAUAUAAACUUGGAGUACAUACCUGUUUAACCUUUCGUAUUGAAUAUAUUUAUAAGUAAUUCUUAGUGCGAAGUCUUAUAGCUUUAAACUCUACUCGGAUUAUCAGCGAGACCUUUAGCUCAGAUGAAAUCUCCACACGAGUCAGCGGGUCUUAACCCAGACAUAGUCACCACAUAUGGUCAUCUGGUCUUUAAUCCCGGGUUUACAUCAUAGAGUUUCAUGCAUAUUUAUUCACAUGUUAAAAACAUUCACAUCGACUAUCAUAUUUGUAAUUUCAUUUACCUCAUCAAAUAUCUAAUAAAACACACCUUCCGCCGUUUGUCAUUUGGCCACAAUAUAUAUAUACACAUCUCAUACAUAUCUCACAUUAGCCAUUUGGCUUUACCACAUAUCCAUCUCAUACACGUUUCGCAUUAGCCAUUCGGCUUUACCUCAUAUCCAUCUCAUACACAUUUCGCAUUAGCCAUUCGGCUUUACCACAUAUAUACACUUCCACGUUCAUCACAUUGGCCAUUCUGCCUUAUCACAUAUAUGCAUGUUCACAUUCAUCACAUUGGCCAUUCGGCCUUAUCACACAUAUGCAUGUUCACAUUCAUCACAUUGGCCAUUCGGCCUUAUCUCAUAUAUGCAUGUUCACAUUCAUCACAUUUGCCAUUCGGCCUUAUCUCAUAUAUACACAUUCACAUUCAUCACAUAAAAUCCUAAAUCAAAAUAUAAAUUUUCAUGUAUUCACAUCACAAUUAUCCAAAUAUACUUCACAUACCACAUAUACUUUCAUGUAUACACUUUGUCUUGGCUGAAUCUACAUCUAUCAUUUUCCGAUGAAUAAUUCAAUUUCAAGCCAUACUAUCAUUUCAUAUUCGAAUACUUAUAAACUUACAAUUUCACAAAUUUUAAUAUCAAAGAUCCAUUUAACGCUCAUAUAUCAUUUUAUAAUAUCACAAUUUAGAAUUCACAUAUGGGUUUAAUCAAUAGCUUAUGAGCAACUAAAACAAGUUUUAUCCAUGUUUACAACAUAACCACAAAUUCUCUACAAGCUGUUUUCCUGAGCAACGGUCGUUAAAUUAUUUGUAACUGGGGCUACGAAAUUCCAAAUUAUGUGCCGUUAAUUUUCCAUGAAAAUAGACUCGUAUAUCCUCUAUCCACAAAAUUUUCAGAAUUUUUGGUUUGGCCAAUCAAUACCAGAUUUUUCUUAAAUUUUCCCCUAUUUUAUUGCUUGACUACUCUGACUACUCUUCACUAAGAAUUUAAUUUCUCAUUGUACAGAAUUCAAAAUAUGUUUUCGUUUAUUUUGUUUGAAACUAGACUCAUUAAGGAGUCUAAGAAUAUAAUUUUAUCUUAUAAUCAUUUUUGUACGAUUUAUAAUGAUUUUCCAAAUACUGAACAGGGGAUUUCGGAGCCAUUCUGACUCUGUCUCACACAACUUUGAAAAUCUCAUUGUCGGCAACCCCUUUACUUACACGAUUUCUUUUAUACGAAACUAGACGUGUCAAGCUUUAAUUACAUAAUUUAUUCAGCCUUUAACUCAACUCCCACAUAAGCUAGUAUUUUAGUAAUUAAUAUGAUACAAGUUAAACCAAAAGUUUACAAUAAAAUUACAAGGUACAUACAUAGGGCCCAUAUACAUGUUUAUUUUAAAACACCACCCUUUAAACCCUCUAGCUCUACUUACAAAAGACUCUCAUAACUAAAAUCCAUAAGUAAGUCAUCCAAUUCCACCAUUUCAAUAAGUAUUUUAUACCAAAUCUAAUAACUAAAUGUUAUUAAUGAGAUUCAUACCAAGACCGAAUAUUCAUUAACAACCAAAGCAUAUAUUCAACAAUUUAACAAUGUGUUUAACCUCCAUGGCCGAAUAGAUCCUUUCUAUUCCAUUUAACUACCAUAAAUUUAAAGUAUUUAAAUCAAGUUCAUGAGUUUCUAAUUUCAUUACUUCAACCAUUCAAAGCCUAUCUAAUUUCUCAAAUAGAUUUCUAAUACAAGAAUUAAGCCAACCUACUAACCUUAACACCCACUACUUAUGUACAAAAAUUUAUCCACCCUAGCCUAUAGUUCAUUCGGCCAUUCUUCACCCAACCAAACAAAAUUUCAUAGCAAACUCCUAUGACCGAGCACACACAUAUACUUACAUCCCAAUACUCAUAAUAUUCAAAAUUCACAUUUUAAUAAAUUAUCUUAAACAAUGCCGAAUCCCUAAGUGAUUAAACAUCAAAUUUUACUCAAUUCAAAACAUAUAAACAACAUUUAUUCAUGACAUCAAGCAUCUUUAUUUCGGCUAUUACUAGUAUAAGCAUUAACCAUUCAUGUUUUUAGAAAGACCAAUUUCUUUCCUCAACACAUUCAUCAUCAAAAUUCAAAGAAAACAAUCAAAAUUCAUUCCUUUAUAACCAUAACCGAAUGCUCCAUUCACCCAUCAUUAUUGAAAAUUUUAGCAUGGGCUAAGCAAGAACCAUGAUAAUUUACCUAAAACAAGUAAACAUUUCACAAAUUUAACACAAUAUACUAACCUCCCUAAAGAUUCAAGUGACCGAAAUUCCUCCCCUCCUUUCUUUCUUCUAUUCGGCCAAGUUGAACAAAGAGAGAACUUUGUUUUCAUCACCAAAUUUCCUUAUUUUUAUUUAAAGUAUAAAACCAUUUAACUAAAAUUAAUACAUAUUUUAAUAUGAGUCCAUCAUCUUGGCCGGCCACUACUAGCAAAAGGGGUUAUUUGACAUGCAAGUCCAAGCAUUCUUAUAACAUGCAUUAAUAAGUUACUUCAACAUUUGCCUAACAAAUUUCUAAAAUUUCUCACAUAAGUCCUAUUUAAUAAUUUCGCAUACAAAUGAUAAAAUUAAAGUAUGAAACUUUCACACAUUCAUAUUCACAUAUAAUAAGCAUCGAAUAUGACUGUUAAUUAUUUUUAUGACUCGGUUUCGUGGUCCCGAAACCACUUUCCGACUAGAAUCAAAUUAGGGGUGUCACAAAUUACAUAUUUUAUCAAUUUGAUCGUAAUUAUAAAUAAAUUAAUCCUCAAUAUUUAUAAAUCAUUUGAUUUUAAUUCUAAUAAAAUUAUAUUUUUUCUAAAAUUAAAAAGUUAAAAAAUAAAUAAAAAUCUAAAAAUAUAUAAUAAAAAACUUGCAAAAAAGAACUUGCAAAAUUUGCAAAAUCGAAUAGAGGGAAAACCCGAGGCAAAAAGGGUAGGGGUGGUGCGUUGGCUGAGGCAGAGACGAAGACAAAUGAGACAGAGAUAGAGAUGUGGUUGGUGUGGGUGAAGACCAUAUAUUGCAACAGUGACCUUUGGAGCGGCAGAAGAUGGCGAAAGUUUCAAGUUUCUUUUGUAGAUCUAGGAUUUGUUGAAUUUUUUUUUUAACAAAAACUAAUUGGGAAAUAUGGAAAAGGAGAUGGAGAUAAAGAUUUUGGUCAAAUUUUGAUAGCGUUCUAGGCUGAUGGUCUAUGGCGUACGGUGGACAGUGACGGCAGAGGUCAACUGAAAUCUGGGUUUGGCGGUGGUUUUGGGGGAAAAUGUUUAAUAUUAAAGAAGGAGUGAGG
rnacentral:lncRNA from 1 species